UCAUGGGCCAGCCUCCCUAAUUCAGAGGUGGGGAAACAGGUCCAGGCACUGAGGGGCCUGUCCCAGGUCACCAGCUCAUCUGUGGCAGAACCAGGGAUGAAGCCAGGCCUGUCAUGCUACAUGUUCUGUCAACACUACCUCAGCGGGAGAAGCCAGAGUGUGUCUUCCACAGCCCACUGAUCCCGAGCGUUGGGUUCUGGUUUUAACUCGAACAGAAUUAAGAUCAAGACUGAAAGACAACCCCCUGCAUGACUGGUCAUCCAUUCCUUCUUCCUAACGGAAGCGCCCCAGCCCACCCCGCACCGCCAUCUGCUCAGUCACACUGAGACUUGACUCACUUGUGGAGGAGGCAGCCCCCCUGCCCCCAGGGGACACACAGGCAGCAUCUUCUUGAUUUUGUCGCUGCUACACUGGCAGGCGGGUGAGGGGUUCUCCAUCGUCCAGUUCCCACUUUGGAAGAGUUUCGUGAUGGUCUGGGGAACCGGGGCGGUGGUCCACUCCUCUUCCCCCACUGAGCAAGGCAUGUCUCUGCAGAGGGAAGACAUCAAAGGUAGCAUCACCCGAGAGGGCCUGGCCUUUCCUGGUGCCUCAGGAGCACAGAUCAACCAAUAACAACCACAAACAUGCAUCUAUCCCCUCACCAUUUUUGUGAUCUCCCCACAGACCUGUGAGCCGCAAACUUCCUUUGCAGUUAAGGAUGAUGGAACACAAAAAGGCCCGAAAUGCUCACCUACCAAACUCCAGUCAGUGCAAUCCACCAGCAUUUGGUCUCCUGCCCCUGUGUUCACUCAACGAAUAUUCACUGAGCAUCUACGUGCCAGACACUGUUCGGCACACUUGAGAGUCUGGGGUGAACAAGACAAAGUCUCUGCCUGCAUGGAGCUUGCAUUCCUGUGCAGGAAUUUGGCAAUAAACAAAUGUCACCUA